CAAAAAGCAGGGCUCUGCUUGUACAUAACAGAGCUCACGUAAAUGUCAGGAAAAUCGAAUUGGUCAUCGUGAUUGGGUGAACCUACGUUUCUUCUAAUAGCUGAUGGUUCAGUACAUGAUGGUACAUUU
rnacentral:snoRNA from 1 species